CCUACGGGCGGCUGCAGUGGGGAAUAUUGGACAAUGGGCGAAAGCCUGAUCCAGCCAUGCCGCGUGUGUGAAGAAGGCCUUCGGGUUGUAAAGCACUUUCAGUGGGGAAGAAAGCCUUGGGGCUAAUACCCUCGAGGAAGGACAUCACCCACAGAAGAAGCACCGGCUAACUCCGUGCCAGCAGCCGCGGUAAUACGGAGGGUGCGAGCGUUAAUCGGAAUUACUGGGCGUAAAGCGCGCGUAGGCGGUCUGAUAAGCCGGUUGUGAAAGCCCCGGGCUCAACCUGGGAACGGCAUCCGGAACUGUCAGGCUAGAGGGCAGGAGAGGAAGGUAGAAUUCCCGGUGUAGCGGUGAAAUGCGUAGAGAUCGGGAGGAAUACCAGUGGCGAAGGCGGCCUUCUGGACUGACACUGACGCUGAGGUGCGAAAGCGUGGGUAGCAAACAGGAUUAGAUACCCGGGUAGUC
rnacentral:rRNA from 1 species